ACUGUCAGGUGUGCAUGUAGGAGCCAGGCCCUGUGACCAAUAGGACUUUGCAGGACUUCCUAAGUUUGUUCUGAAGAGGCAAGGCACGGCCUCACAGGUGAGGCUGAUUGGUAACUCACAGCACCUGGUGGCAAGAGCUGGGAAGGGAUAUAAGGUCAGCAUUUCCCUUCAGCUCUUUGCCACAGCAACAUGUUCCCUGCCUUGCUGUGUUUGACUCCU